rnacentral:rRNA from 1 species
AUUGAACGCUGGCGGCAUGCCUUACACAUGCAAGUCGAACGGCAGCGGACCUUCGGGUGCCGGCGAGUGGCGAACGGGUGAGUAAUGCAUCGGAACGUGCCAUUGAGUGGGGGAUAACGUAGCGAAAGUUGCGCUAAUACCGCAUAUUCUGUGAGCAGGAAAGCAGGGGACCGCAAGGCCUUGCGCUCUUUGAGCGGCCGAUGUCAGAUUAGCUAGUUGGUGAGGUAAAGGCUUACCAAGGCGACGAUCUGUAGCGGGUCUGAGAGGAUGAUCCGCCACACUGGAACUGAGACACGGUCCAGACUCCUACGGGAGGCAGCAGUGGGGAAUUUUGGACAAUGGGGGCAACCCUGAUCCAGCCAUGCCGCGUGAGUGAAGAAGGCC